CCUACGGGUGGCAGCAGUGAGGAAUAUUGGUCAAUGGGCGUAAGCCUGAACCAGCCAAGUCGCGUGAGGGAUGAAGGUUCUAUGGAUCGUAAACCUCUUUUAUAGGGGCAUAAAGUGUGGGACGUGUCCUAUUUUGUAUGUACCUUAUGAAUAAGGAUCGGCUAACUCCGUGCCAGCAGCCGCGGUAAUACGGAGGAUCCGAGCGUUAUCCGGAUUUAUUGGUUUUAAAGGGUGCGUAGGCGGCCUUUUAAUUCAGCGGUGAAAGUCUGUGGCUCAACCAUAGAAUUGCCGUUGAAACUGGGGGUCUUGAGUAUGUUUGAGGCAGGCGGAAUGCGUGGUGUAGCGGUGAAAUGCUUAGAUAUCACGCAGAACCCCGAUUGCGAGGGCAGCCUGACAAGCCAUGACUGACGCUGAUGCACGAAAGCGUGGGGAUCAAACAGGAUUAGAUACCCUGGUAGUC
rnacentral:rRNA from 1 species